rnacentral:rRNA from 1 species
UACGUAGGUGGCAAGCGUUGUCCGGAAUUACUGGGCGUAAAGGAUGUGUAGGCGGAUGUUUAAGUGAGAUGUGAAAUCCCCGGGCUCAACUUGGGGGCUGCAUUUCAAACUGGAUAUCUAGAGUGCAGGAGAGGAAAGCGGAAUUCCUAGUGUAGCGGUGAAAUGCGUAGAGAUUAGGAAGAACAUCAGUGGCGAAGGCGGCUUUCUGGACUGUAACUGACGCUGAGGCAUGAAAGCGUGGGGANCAAACAGG